rnacentral:rRNA from 1 species
UACGGAGGGUGCAAGCGUUGUCCGGAUUUAUUGGGUUUAAAGGGUGCGUAGGCGGUCAACUAAGUCAGUGGUGAAAGGCAGCAGCUUAACUGUUAGCAUUGCCAUUGAUACUGGAUGACUUGAGUACAGACGAGGUAGGCGGAAUUUAUGGUGUAGCGGUGAAAUGCAUAGAUACCAUAAAGAACACCGAUUGCGAAGGCAGCUUACUAGGCUGUAACUGACGCUGAGGCACGAAAGCGUGGGGAUCGAACAGG